UUAAGCGACUAAGCGUACACGGUGGAUGCCCUGGCAGUCAGAGGCGAUGAAGGACGUGCUAAUCUGCGAUAAGCGCCGGUAAGGUGAUAUGAACCGUUAUAACCGGCGAUUUCCGAAUGGGGAAACCCAGUGUGAUUCGUCACACUAUCAUUAACUGAAUCCAUAGGUUAAUGAGGCGAACCGGGGGAACUGAAACAUCUAAGUACCCCGAGGAAAAGAAAUCAACCGAGAUUCCCCCAGUAGCGGCGAGCGAACGGGGAGGAGCCCAGAGCCUGAAUCAGCAUGUGUGUUAGUGGAAGCGUCUGGAAAGGCGCGCGAUACAGGGUGACAGCCCCGUACACAAAAGCGCAUGUGCUGUGAGCUCGAUGAGUAGGGCGGGACACGUGGUAUCCUGUCUGAAUAUGGGGGGACCAUCCUCCAAGGCUAAAUACUCCUGACUGACCGAUAGUGAACCAGUACCGUGAGGGAAAGGCGAAAAGAACCCCGGCGAGGGGAGUGAAAAAGAACCUGAAACCGUGUACGUACAAGCAGUGGGAGCCCCACCACCAAAGCAUUCUCUGGUGUUGAAGGCCCUGCAAAGCAGCAUCGCGGUGGCGGAGCGUCGUUUGCGACGCCCAACACACAAAACAAGCGGUGAGUGCUUUGGGGUGGGGUGACUGCGUACCUUUUGUAUAAUGGGUCAGCGACUUAUAUUCUGUAGCAAGGUUAACCGAAUAGGGGAGCCGGAGGGAAACCGAGUCUUAAUUGGGCGUUAAGUUGCAGGGUAUAGACCCGAAACCCGGUGAUCUAGCCAUGGGCAGGUUGAAGGUUGGGUAACACUAACUGGAGGACCGAACCGACUAAUGUUGAAAAAUUAGCGGAUGACCUGUGGCUGGGGGUGAAAGGCCAAUCAAACCGGGAGAUAGCUGGUUCUCCCCGAAAGCUAUUUAGGUAGCGCCUCGUGAAUUCAUCUCCGGGGGUAGAGCACUGUUUCGGCUAGGGGGCCAUCCCGGCUUACCAACCCGAUGCAAACUGCGAAUACCGGAGAAUGUUAUCACGGGAGACACACGGCGGGUGCUAACGUCCGUCGUGAAGAGGGAAACAACCCAGACCGCCAGCUAAGGUCCCAAAGUCAUGGUUAAGUGGGAAACGAUGUGGGAAGGCCCAGACAGCCAGGAUGUUGGCUUAGAAGCAGCCAUCAUUUAAAGAAAGCGUAAUAGCUCACUGGUCGAGUCGGCCUGCGCGGAAGAUGUAACGGGGCUAAACCAUGCACCGAAGCUGCGGCAGCGACACUCAGGUGUUGUUGGGUAGGGGAGCGUUCUGUAAGCCUGCGAAGGUGGCCUGUGAGGGUUGCUGGAGGUAUCAGAAGUGCGAAUGCUGACAUAAGUAACGAUAAAGCGGGUGAAAAGCCCGCUCGCCGGAAGACCAAGGGUUCCUGUCCAACGUUAAUCGGGGCAGGGUGAGUCGACCCCUAAGGCGAGGCCGAAAGGCGUAGUCGAUGGGAAACGGGUUAAUAUUCCCGUACUUGGUGUUACUGCGAAGGGGGGACGGAGAAGGCUAUGUUGGCCGGGCGACGGUUGUCCCGGUUUAAGCGUGUAGGUGUGUGUUCCAGGUAAAUCCGGUUCACUUUAACACUGAGGCGUGAUGACGAGGCACUACGGUGCUGAAGCAACAAAUGCCCUGCUUCCAGGAAAAGCCUCUAAGCAUCAGGUAACAUCAAAUCGUACCCCAAACCGACACAGGUGGUCAGGUAGAGAAUACCAAGGCGCUUGAGAGAACUCGGGUGAAGGAACUAGGCAAAAUGGUGCCGUAACUUCGGGAGAAGGCACGCUGACACGUAGGUGAAGUGAUUUACUCAUGGAGCUGAAGUCAGUCGAAGAUACCAGCUGGCUGCAACUGUUUAUUAAAAACACAGCACUGUGCAAACACGAAAGUGGACGUAUACGGUGUGACGCCUGCCCGGUGCCGGAAGGUUAAUUGAUGGGGUCAGCGCAAGCGAAGCUCCUGAUCGAAGCCCCGGUAAACGGCGGCCGUAACUAUAACGGUCCUAAGGUAGCGAAAUUCCUUGUCGGGUAAGUUCCGACCUGCACGAAUGGCGUAAUGAUGGCCAGGCUGUCUCCACCCGAGACUCAGUGAAAUUGAACUCGCUGUGAAGAUGCAGUGUACCCGCGGCAAGACGGAAAGACCCCGUGAACCUUUACUAUAGCUUGACACUGAACAUUGAGCCUUGAUGUGUAGGAUAGGUGGGAGGCUUUGAAGUGUGGACGCCAGUCUGCAUGGAGCCGACCUUGAAAUACCACCCUUUAAUGUUUGAUGUUCUAACGUGGACCCGUGAUCCGGGUUGCGGACAGUGUCUGGUGGGUAGUUUGACUGGGGCGGUCUCCUCCUAAAGAGUAACGGAGGAGCACGAAGGUUGGCUAAUCCUGGUCGGACAUCAGGAGGUUAGUGCAAUGGCAUAAGCCAGCUUGACUGCGAGCGUGACGGCGCGAGCAGGUGCGAAAGCAGGUCAUAGUGAUCCGGUGGUUCUGAAUGGAAGGGCCAUCGCUCAACGGAUAAAAGGUACUCCGGGGAUAACAGGCUGAUACCGCCCAAGAGUUCAUAUCGACGGCGGUGUUUGGCACCUCGAUGUCGGCUCAUCACAUCCUGGGGCUGAAGUAGGUCCCAAGGGUAUGGCUGUUCGCCAUUUAAAGUGGUACGCGAGCUGGGUUUAGAACGUCGUGAGACAGUUCGGUCCCUAUCUGCCGUGGGCGCUGGAGAACUGAGGGGGGCUGCUCCUAGUACGAGAGGACCGGAGUGGACGCAUCACUGGUGUUCGGGUUGUCAUGCCAAUGGCACUGCCCGGUAGCUAAAUGCGGAAGAGAUAAGUGCUGAAAGCAUCUAAGCACGAAACUUGCCCCGAGAUGAGUUCUCCCUGAGACUUAGAGUCUCCUGAAGGAACGUUGAAGACGACGACGUUGAUAGGCCGGGUGUGUAAGCGCAGCGAUGCGUUGAGCUAACCGGUACUAAUGAACCGUGAGGCUUAACCUU
rnacentral:rRNA from 1 species